rnacentral:sRNA from 12 species
AAGCGUUGAAGCAUAAUAGCGUACCGGGAUGCCUUGUUAUGCAGAGCUUUCAGUAGGGGUUGUGCAGUAACCUCAAACCGGAGUAGGCUGCAAGCCGAAAGAAAAUGCUCAAA